CACGCCGCUUGCGACCUUCUCUCCUCUCUCUGCUACGACUACUACUGGAGUAGUAGUAUAUAGCUGCGCAACUCCUAACCUUAACUUGGUACGUACGUCUCGCCUCGCCUGCUCCUCUUCUCUGCUCCACUUCCAUUUCCAUCUGCCCCGCCCAUCCAUCCUUGAAACAUCAGGUUGACCCUCUGGCUGGCUGGGCCACAGCGGUUGCAGAGACAAGAGAACAAGUCUCCUCCACAAAAGGGGUUCCGUGCCACAGCGCUGACAUGUCCUCUCUGAGGCCGCUCAACACGGAACCAAGUUUUCUCCACUCCCCCAUGGAUGCCUGCGCCGCGCCGCUGAGGUCGCCGUCGCCGAGGGUCGUCGCCGGCCCGCCCAAGAAGAGGAUGCCGCGCCCCCUCCAGAGGUCGCUCAGCUUCAAGAACUGGGAGGCGGAGGCUGCCGCCGAUGAGCCAGAGCCGGCGACCCGGUGCAUCAACGGCGCGCGCCCCGGGACCCUCCUGCUCCAGAGCCCCGGAAGCAAGCAGCAGUCCCCGUCCAAGCCGCACUUCGUCUCUCCGAGGCCUCAGGCCGAGCUGGACGACGCGGCCACCAAGGUCCAGAAGCUCUUCAAGGGCCACCGGACCCGGAGGAACCUCGCCGACUGCGCCAUUGUCGUGGAGGAGCUCUGGUGGAAGGCCUACGAUUCCGCAUCACUCAACAUCAAGUCCAUCUCCUUCUUCGACGAGGCCAAGCAGGAGACGGCUGCUUCCCGGUGGUCAAGGGCUGGGAAGAGGAUUGCCAAGGUCGGCAAGGGGCUGUCCAAAGACGAGAAGGCCCAGAAACUGGCACUGCAGCAUUGGCUCGAAGCUAUUGACCCGCGCCAUCGCUACGGCCACAAUUUGCACCUCUACUACGACAUCUGGUCCGCGAGUUCCAGCACAGAGCCCUUCUUCUACUGGCUGGAUAUCGGAGCCGGGAAAGACGUUCAUCACCAAAAGUGUCCCAGAAGCAAGCUGUAUUCCCAACUGAUUAUGUACCUCGGACCAAACGAGAGGGCAGGGUACGAGGUUAUUGUGGAGCAAGGGAAGCUCAUGUACAGGAGAAGCGGCCUUCUCGUAGAAACCACCGAGGAUUCGAAAUGGAUAUUUGUGCUGAGCACAACUAGAUCACUAUACAUCGGGCAGAAGAAGAAGGGUAAAUUUCAGCACUCAAGUUUCCUGGCCGGCGCGGCGACAACCGCUGCCGGUAGGUUGGUUGCCAAAGAUGGCAUUCUUAAGGCAAUAUGGCCUUACAGCGGCCACUACCUCCCUACAGAGGAGAACUUCAGGGAGUUCAUCAGUUUCUUGGAGGAGAACAAUGUCGAUCUAGCUAACGUCAAGAGGUGUUCCGUGGACGACGACGAGUACCCAUCGUUCAAAAAGAGCUCAGACGAGCCUACUGAAAUGGAAGGAGAUGACGAGAAACCCACCGAGGAGGCGCAACAUGAUGAGACCCUCAACAGCUCGCAAAUUGAACUGCCUGAGAUGGACAUCAUCAAGGAAGUGGUUGCCGAGGACAAUGCGGAAACCGAGACCAAGAUGGCCAGUCUCCCAUCCUUCAAAUGGGCAACCGCUGCUGGCGCGCGGAUCGGCUGUGUCCGUGACUACCCGGCUGAUCUCCAGAGCAUGGCUCUUGAGCAUGUCAAUCUGUCACCAAGAGUGGUGCCGUCUCCGAGUGCGAAUCGGCUGCCCAUCCCGUCACCUCGGCCGAGCCCCAAGAUCAGGCUGUCUCCCCGGCUGCACUACAUGGGCCUUCCCACCCCCACCGGCCGCCGUCUCCCGAUCCCAAGCCCGGAAAUCAGGAGGCAGCAGUUCAUGGGUUUUCACACACCGCAAGUGUCUCUCACUCUCCCCAAGCACAAGGCCAAGUGAUUUUUCAUCUCGCGGCACCUACUACCAGGCUGCUGCUAUUGAAGCUAGUAUAGACGCAGUUUUAGAUACUAGUUAUUAUAGCUAGCCUAGAUCAGAGAUACUACUCACAAUUUUGUUUCUUAUGGUUGCUUCUUUGGUUCUGUGUCACCAUUCUUUAGUACUAUGUUCAUUCAUCUUCUUAUUUGACCUGAGGUGCGUCGGCUCUAGUGUAACCACAACUCUGCAAAUAAGCCAUGUAACUUUCCAGCUUUGUUUUGAUAAUAAAAGGGUUGUUUUGUUCAUCAUGUUUUAUUGUUUUUAUUGCACGCAUUUGCAGCAGGAAUGUAGGACACUCUCUAACGUUAUUCGAUUGGAAGAACAACAACAGCAACAAAAAACAGAUUUGCUAAAAUUAGCUAUUGCACAUCUAACUGUACCACCGUUGGAUGAAAGCCCUCUAAGAUUUGUACUUUCUUUUCCAAUGCGAGAUUGUGUUGUUGUUUUUGCGCGGCCUAUGGGCUGGUUUGUUGCCUGCAAUGCAUACUAG
rnacentral:rRNA from 1 species